rnacentral:antisense_RNA from 1 species
AUCGCGAGAUCAGGAGGGUGGCCGAGGGUGUCGCCGCGGCCAUCAGGCACUUCUCCUUCCUGCCAUCAUGUGAAGAAGGAUGUGUUUGCUUCCCCUUCUGCCAUGAUUGUAAGUUUCCUGAGGCCUCCUCAGCCCUGCGGAACUGGCUAGAGCAAUGUAUCUUAGGCUCACUUAAGGAAGCUGUAGAAAUGAGCCCAAGGAGGGAAACCAGAAGAGCCCCCCAGGCUCACCAGUUGUUUGUUGGCUCCCUACAAACAUGUCAUUCAAGUGGCUAAUCUUACAACAGCACAAAUGCAUCUAACCAGAAAGAGAAGAGGAGGCUCCAAAGGCACUUGACUACUGAGCAUCACCCUGGACGUGUACAAGUCUGCGUCCUUAUUGUUUUCUUCAUUGGGCCGAACUUUCUGGUCCUCAUCCAACAGCUCUUCUAUCACAUGUUCGAAAGUGUCAGCCAACGAUGUCAGGCCUCUUGAACCCGCCUUGGGCCCAUUCACGCUCUCCAGAGUCCCAUGGGUCCGCACACCUGGAGAUACUCUAUUAUAGCAAAGAAGAAAGAUAAUUUCAUUGAGCCAUCCUGUUUUACAGGAAAUUCUGCAAGUGGCAACGUGGGUCCAUUCCGUGUGUGUCACUAGAGCUGGCGCAAGGCCAUGGCCAUGGUGAGGCACUGUUUCCACUGGAACUAAUCUGAUACCUGCACCAGCUCUUGGAACUGCAAACUAUGGAUGGGGAUUUUCCCUCCUCGUGAGUCAAAAUGAACAAGAAAUACCCCAGGACCUCCCUUCCCUCCUUGGCCAUUAAUGAGAUUAAGGCAAUUAACUCACAUAGUAUAAAUGAAUCAUUUGAGGUGAUGACUGCAUUUUAGGCAAAUGAUGACUUUCUUGGUUCCCUUGGUUUGCAAGUAAAAGUUACACACAUUGAAAAGACACUCUGAAACAGAUUUCCUAAAUGCUUCAUUUUCUGGAUACACCAAGGUUGACCUACUAUACAUGUUAAAUGGUUUUAAAAUAUCAUCUUAAAAUAAACGAAACUUCCAGCUGCUAACUCAGCUCUGAAUGGGCUAUGAAAGGCUCCAAAGGUAUGUGAAAAAUUACUGUUAUUUUGCUUUAAAAAAUGUAAUGUCUAAGAGUGUCUGCAAUGUUCUAAUGCUUCAAAACAUGUACGUAAGCCUUGUUUAUCUGGAAAUCAUUUCUUUCUGCUUAUAUCAUUUAUAAAUAGAAAAUGUUCUGUAAUAAUUUAAAAUAGUUCCACAUACAUAAUGCUUUUCGUGUCAUAAUACUUACUACUGGUCUAUAUUUACCAACAUUUAUCACAUUUUACAAAAUGAAGUAGAAGAAAAAAAAGACAACGACUUUAUGGCCCUGGAAUUCCAGUAACGGUGACCAACAUGUUUUAAAUUCCAGUAAAGGUUAUGGUUACAUUUCAACAA